rnacentral:rRNA from 1 species
GAAGCGUGCUUCUUUGCUGACGAGCGGCGGACGGGUGAGUAAUGUAUGGGAAUCUAGCCGAAGGUGGGGGAUAACCAUUGGAAACGAUGGCUAAUACCGCAUAAUCUCUAAGGAGCAAAGUGGGGGACUAGAUUAUUCUAGCCUCAUUCCUUUGGAUGAACCCAUAUGAGAUUAGCUAGUAGGUGAGGUAAGGGCUUACCUAGGCAACGAUCUCUAGCUGGUCUGAGAGGAUGAUCAGCCACACUGGGACUGAGACACGGCCCAGACUCCUACGGGAGGCAGCAGUGGGGAAUAUUGCACAAUGGGCGCAAGCCUGAUGCAGUCRUGCCGCGUGUAUGAAGAAGGCCUUCGGGUUGUAAAGUACUUUCAGUCGUAAGGAAAGUGUUAAAAUUAAUACCUUUAACAAUUGACGUUAGCGACAGAAGAAGCACCGGCUAACUCCGUGCCAGCAGCCGCGGUAAUACGGAGGGUGCGAGCGUUAAUCGGAAUUACUGGGCGUAAAGGGCACGCAGGCGGUUAAUUAAGUUGGGUGUGAAAUCCCCUGGCUUAACCUAGGAAUGGCACUCAAAACUGGUUAACUAGAGUCUUGUAGAGGGGGGUAGAAUUCCAUAUGUAGCGGUGAAAUGCGUAGAGAUAUGGAGGAAUACCAGUGGCGAAGGCGGCCCCCUGGACAAAAACUGACGCUCAUGUGCGAAAGCAUGGGGAGCAAACAGGAUUAGAUACCCUGGUAGUCCAUGCUGUAAACGAUGUCGAUUUGGAGGUUGUGGUCAUGAACUAUGGCCUCCGGAGCUAACGCGUUAAAUCGACCGCCUGGGGAGUACGGCCGCAAGGUUAAAACUCAAAUGAAUUGACGGGGGCCCGCACAAGCGGUGGAGCAUGUGGUUUAAUUCGAUGCAACGCGAAAAACCUUACCUACUUUUGACAUCCAGCGAAUUUUUAGAGAUAAAAAGUGCCUUCGGGAACGCUGAGACAGGUGCUGCAUGGCUGUCGUCAGCUCGUGUUGUGAAAUGUUGGGUUAAGUCCCGCAACGAGCGCAACCCUUAUUCUUUGUUGCCAGCGAAGAAAGUCGGGAACUCAAAGAAGACUGCCGGUGAUAAACCGGAGAAAGGUGGGGAUGACGUCAAGUCAUCAUGGCCCUUACAAGUAGGGCUACACACGUGCUACAAUGGCGUAUACAGAGAGAUGCAAGCCAGCGAUGGGAAGCGAAACUCAAAAAGUACGUCAAAGUCCGGAUUGGAGU